GUGAACGCCCUCACGGGCUCUAAACUAUUCCACAACCUCUGUGAACCGUUUGCCCCUCGGGGCUUUUUACAAACAUCUGUGUAAUGAACGUUUAAACAUUAACAAAACA
rnacentral:misc_RNA from 1 species